CCCACCCACAAGAAUUGGUUACUGCACCUGGGGUAGUGGGUAGCUUGUCCAUGUCCAGGGGCUCCACCACGGCUCUGGGGGGGUACUAGCCUUCCGGAUCGGUGGGUUGUUGAGUGGGCAGAGACGGCGUGGGCGGACGGCGAACAUAUGCGGUAAACUUUGACCCUGUACCUCACAGUCAGCAGACACAUUCCAGCCAGCACAUCAGCAGCAGACCCUCCCUCCCAGACCCUCCUACCUCCUGGACAGCAACCAUUUUACAUUCAUUGUGAAGCUGCAUUCUUAGUGAGCUGUCCAGGAGGUGGGAGGGUCUGGCAGGGAGGGUCUGCUGCUGUUUGGCUGGAACCGUUCGGGACAUCACUACCUGUGAUACAUACUGCCGCUGGGGAUCUGGGCCAACCGCUCAGCAUCCCUGUAGGGCCGGUAGAAAGACCGCCGUCCCAUCUCCACCUGCCAUCUGUGGGUCUUCCCAGGACCAGUCUGUGAGGUCCCUCAACAUUUGCGAGUAAGGACCGCCUGCUUCCGCACCUGGCAACUCUGGCUGCUGCUGGGGAUCUGGGCCGACUGCCCAGCAUCCCGGUGGGCCCAGUGGAGAGACCUCGGUCCCAUCUCCACCUGCCUGUUGUGGUUCCUCACAGGACCAAUCUAUGAGGACCCCUACUUCGGGUUCCUCUGGCCGCCUCAGUGGCGAGGUCGGUUUCGCUACAGGGACAUAGACAAACACAGGAUCUGCCCGUUGUAUUUGGCCAUUUUCGUCAACGUGUGUUGGGCUCGGUGUAAAUCGGAGGGGCAUUUGGCAAUGUCGGGAUGGAAGGGUGCCAGUCAAUUGUCGGAUUAGUAUGGGACUUCUGCAAGGCUGCUCAGUAAUAGGUUCCGGUCUGGGAGUAGUAAAAUAGGUGGAAGGGGGUGAGCUAAUUUUACUAGUCAGCAUUUGGCGGAUGAAAAAAUAAAAAAAGUGUUAAACCAAAAACCUACCAGUAGGUGUCACCAGAUGGUAAGUAAUUGUAUCAAAAUAAUCUUUAUGGGUCUAAUAAUAAAACUUAACUUUUAAUAUAUUUAUACAUAAAAUAAAACCUUAUAGCAAUAAAUAUAUUAAAAUAGGGUAAGCAAUCCUACUUCUGUCUGUUGUAUGCCAGUAUAGAGUUAAAGAUGAUUAAACAAUGUAAUAUCAAUGUAACUCCCGAAGAUGGCCAGUAUGUGGCCCUAGAGUGCCUCCCUAAAGUCUAAUGAAGCAGAGAGAUUAAUUAUGUGCUUAUUUUAAUCACUGUUCACCCUGAUAUCUAGGCUUGAGUAAAGCUUUAGUUCUAUGGUAAAUUAAACAUCUCAGUUUGUAUUUUAGUAAAGAGGAUAUUUUGGACAAAGCUGGAAGGGGCCCAUCCAGUAACUAAAAAAGGAUAAAAGUGUACUCUAGUAUAUUAUACCAUUGAUCAUUUCUUCCAGUUGUAUUUUAGACUGUCACUGAAGGCACAUAGUGUUC